rnacentral:rRNA from 1 species
UUAGAUACCCUGGUAGUCCACGCCGUAAACGAUGAGUGCUAAGUGUUGGAGGGUUUCCGCCCUUCAGUGCUGCAGCUAACGCAUUAAGCACUCCGCCUGGGGAGUACGACCGCAAGGUUGAAACUCAAAGGAAUUGACGGGGGCCCGCACAAGCGGUGGAGCAUGUGGUUUAAUUCGAAGCAACGCGAAGAACCUUACCAGGUCUUGACAUCCUUUGACCACUCUAGAGAUAGAGCUUCCCCUUCGGGGGCAAAGUGACAGGUGGUGCAUGGUUGUCGUCAGCUCGUGUCGUGAGAUGUUGGGUUAAGUCCCGCAACGAGCGCAACCCUUAUUGUUAGUUGCCAUCAUUCAGUUGGGCACUCUAGCAAGACUGCCGGUGACAAACCGGAGGAAGGUGGGGAUGACGUCAAAUCAUCAUGCCCCUUAUGACCUGGGCUACACACGUGCUACAAUGGGAAGUACAACGAGUCGCGAAGUCGCGAGGCUAAGCUAAUCUCUUAAAGCUUCUCUCAGUUCGGAUUGUAGGCUGCAACUCGCCUACAUGAAGCCGGAAUCGCUAGUAAUCGCGGAUCAGCACGCCGCGGUGAAUACGUUCCCGGGCCUUGUACACACCGCCCGUCACACCACGAGAGUUUGUAACACCCGAAGUCGGUGAGGUAACCUUUUGGAGCCAGCCGCCUAAGGUGGGAUAGAUGAUUGGGGUGAAGUCGUAACAAGGUAGCCGUAUCGGAAGGUGCGGCUGGAUCACCUCCUUUCUAAGGAA